GACGAACGCUGGCGGCGUGCUUAACACAUGCAAGUCGAACGGUGAAGCGCCGUCCUUUUUGGUGGGUGGGGAGGAGUGGCGAACGGGUGAACAACACGAGAGUAACCUGCCCCCUGCUUCUGGAUAACGGCAUGAAAGCGUGGCUAAUACGGGAUAUUCUGGGUCUGUCGCAUGAUGGGUCAGGGAAAGAUAUUGUUUCGGUGGGGGAUGGGCUCGCGUCCUAUCAGCUUGUUGGUGUGGUGAUGGCCUACCAAGGCGGUGAGGGGUAGCCGGCCUGAGGGGGUGGCCGGCCUCACAGGGGCUGCGCCCCCGACAGGACUCCGAUAGGCCGCAGCAGUGGAGAUUAUUGAACAGUGGGCACCAUGCUGAUGCAGCGCCGCGGCGGGGGUGAUGGCGGCCUGCGCGUUAUGAACCUCUUUGGGCGGUGAAGCAUGCUUGCCUCGUUUGUGGGUGGGUUGACGGUAGCUGGUUAAGAAGCGCCGGCUAACUACGUG
rnacentral:rRNA from 1 species